AAGAAAAUGAAAUGCAGGGCCGAUUUAACAAAACUAGUUACAAAACUUGCAAAUGGACCACCCAGCUGUGGCUGGGUCAUGUAACACAUGUAAAUGUUCUUGCCGAGCGGUACAACUUGUGGAUGGGUCAUGGGUGUAUCGUGGCUUAAAACUAAUGCUUGAUGGUCUCUUCCAGGCCAGCCAUCCAGGCCGCCGACGCAACUGUCCCAUUAAUGAGGACAGAAGUUGGAUAAGAUUAGCCAACCAAAACCAUGGUUAAAACCGGGUGCUUGGAUGGAUGCCAUGCCAACUGAUUGACCAGUGCCAGGCCCUGGCCCAGGGACAGGGUGUGUCCCACAGAAAUUGGACAAUGCACAGGCCCUUUUGAUAUUUAAUUUUGCAUCAGCUAUUUCAAAUGCCACUUCCGCAGCUCAUAUUUUAGCUCAAAUUUUAAAAUGGCAACCCCAACUCCAACUCCAGAAGAAUCCUCAGCUCUAGAGCUUAUUAGACAGCAUCUUCUUGGAGACUUCACUUCCACUGACGUCUUCAUCAGUAAUCUUGAUUUCCAUAUCACCCACAAACUCCAACCCAUUAAACUCGAGCACCAUGGUUCUCUUUCCGCCUCAGAAUCCAACUCCUCUGUUUCUGACCCCAUUUACUCUGCCCAUCAAAGCUUCAAUUUCCAACCAAAAACCGAACUUGUCGAUUUAACAUCUCCGGAGCCUCCAGGUUCGGUUAAGCAUUUUCCGCCACCAGAAACCCUGUCAAACACCAAGCCCACGAAUGAGGAAGAUAAGAGGCAUUACAGAGGGGUACGAAGAAGGCCUUGGGGCAAGUUUGCAGCGGAGAUCCGUGACCCGAACCGGAAGGGUACUCGGGUUUGGUUAGGGACCUUUGAUAGUGAUGUUGAUGCUGCAAAAGCUUAUGACUCUGCUGCAUUCAGAUUGAGGGGAAGAAAAGCCAUCCUGAAUUUUCCUCUGGAGGCUGGACUGGCUGAGCCUCCGGCAAACACCGGCAGAAAGAGAAGGAGAGUAAAGAGAGAGGAAGAGUCACCGGAUUCUGGUGACGGGUCAUCAGCGAAUUGGAAUUUGGGUUCCGUGGGAAGGGAAGAAGGGGAGAGAGUAUUUUAUGACGAGCAACUGUCACCGUUAUCUCCAAAACCGGUUUUGCUGACGUGUUAGUACAUGAUUGGCGGGCCCAAGAAGAACUUCCUUGCUUCAUCUGCUGUAGAGCGUAGACUAGUGUUGGUGUACAGUAACUCAUCAAUAUCUUAACACUAUAAAUUAAAGAUUUUAAUCAUUGAACUAUGAGUUCGAUGAUACGAGUGUUUAUCCGACCCCUAUUAAGAGUUGC
rnacentral:misc_RNA from 1 species